GCAAGGCCAGUCUAUGUCGUGUGGUACUGGAAAUGGACGGAAGUGAAUAUACAUACAAUGCUUUUAACUCCUCUAUGUGAAGAAAAACAAAAUGAAAAAAAAAAACAGCAUAAGAUUACUGUGCCAGAGGAACAAACAUGUCACAGGAGUCCAGGUCAGAUAAGAUCGGUUUACACAACACACAGCAAAAAAGAACAAACUGAGAGGAUAUAUAAUAC